rnacentral:rRNA from 1 species
UGGGGAAUAUUGGACAAUGGGCGCAAGCCUGAUCCAGCCAUGCCGCGUGAACGAUGAAGGCCUUAGGGUUGUAAAGUUCUUUUGUCAGGGAAGAUAAUGACGGUACCUGAAGAAUAAGCACCGGCUAACUCUGUGCCAGCAGCCGCGGUAAUACGGAGGAUCCAAGCGUUAUCCGGAAUCAUUGGGUUUAAAGGGUCCGUAGGCGGUUAGAUAAGUCAGUGGUGAAAGCCCAUCGCUCAACGGUGGAACGGCCAUUGAUACUGUCUGACUUGAAUUAUUAGGAAGUAACUAGAAUAUGUAGUGUAGCGGUGAAAUGCUUAGAGAUUACAUGGAAUACCAAUUGCGAAGGCAGGUUACUACUAAUGGAUUGACGCUGAUGGACGAAAGCGUGGGUAGCGAACAGGAUUAGAUACCCCCGUAGUCCCUGAGCGGGCUGGCAAGGCGCAU